CCUGUCCUUAAAAGCAUUCACUGCAGGUAUAACUGCUGUGUCACAAGUGUCAGUAAGUGCCAGACAGGAGAGAGGCUGUCUAAGCUCAGUGUCUGACUUUUUCUGGAUGAUGUUCAAAAGCCUAAAAUU